AGUUCGACCGGGUCGACGUUGCGGGUGACGAUCAGGUAGUCACGCAGCGCGAUGCCGUGCCGGUUCUC
rfam:Mycobacterium parafortuitum strain CCTG 20999 Mycobacterium_parafortuitum_CCTG20999_contig2, whole genome shotgun sequence.